GAUGAAGAACGUAGCGAAAUGCGAUACUUGGUGUGAAUUGCAGAAUCCCGUGAACCAUCGAGUCUUUGAACGCAAGUUGCGCCUCAAGCCAUUAGGUUGAGGGCACGUCUGCCUGGGCGUCACAUAUCGUUGCCUGAUGCCAGUUUCCUCGUGAUGGGUGACUGUGCAGGGCGAAUGAUGGCUUCCCGUGAGCAUUGUUGCCUCAUGGUUGGUUGAAAAUUGAGUCCUUGGUAGGGAGCGCCGUGAUAGAUGGUGGUUGAGUGACGAACGAGACCCAAUCAUGUGAGACCCCUACCGAAUUUGGCCUUCAUGACCCACAUGCGUCUUUGGAACGCUCAUGACGAGACCUCAGGUCAGGCGGGGCUACCCGCUGAGUUUAAGCAUUUCAAUAAGCGGAGGA
rnacentral:misc_RNA from 1 species